rnacentral:lncRNA from 1 species
ACUUGAAUGCACCUCGGGUGUUAUGCUAUGUGAGAUAAGCCCAGCAGAGGAAGACUCCAUACCUUGAAUUGAAUUUUAGUAUUUUCCUUAAGGAAUAUGCUUUCUGUUGGUCUCAUAAACAGCACAGCAAGUAAAUGGAGCAUUAAGAGCAUGAGGACUGCAGAUGAUGGGAACGCAUCUCGAUGACACUCAAGGCCACCUCUUCCCCUUUGAAUGCCUCCCGAUUUGCCAUGAAGAUACUCUGAUUCACCCUCGCCGCCCCGGUUGUUACCAAGAACAUGCAUUUUGCAAGCUAAUGAACCAAAAUCUGAAGUACAGAGUGUGGACGUGUAAUUGACCUAAAGGAGCUUGUUAUACAGAAGGAUUUAUUUUUGGAGAAUUAUGUGUCCCUGCUGUUCAAAGUUGAAGCAAAAGAUACUUUUGACUGUUUAACCAAUGAAUUAGUAAAAAAAAAAAAAAAAAAAAAAAAUCACCGGAAGUGAAUUAGUCAUCACAUCUCAUCUGUUGACCUUGGGACUGGAGCCCAGGUGCAUCCCCAGUUUUCAUCCCCACGCUGAGCCCUGGACUUGGGUUGCGGCUGACUGAAGUAGAGAUGAUGUUGGCUAUUUAAGCGAACUGCGGAGAGACCGGCACGAUGCGCGUGCAGACCUAGCAGGACGCCUAGCCGGCCGCCCGUCCUCCAACAGCUUGAAUCCCAGGCAGAUGAGGAACAGGAGAAGCAGCAGACGAUUGUUUGAAAGCUGAGGAUGCUGGUCACUGUCUCCAUCGAGGAACACCUGGGAAGACAAAAGCAGGACAGAGGAAUGCUUGGGUGAUCUGGGAUCUCCUGACUUCUCCUCCAUGUUCCCUCUAGGUGCUAUUAUUUUCUUAUGUUUGGAAAGAAAUUGUGGCAUUAUGGGGUUUUUCAAAAAGAGGAAGGGAACAAAUCACUCUGGAUAAGCAAAAGCAUUUUUUUUCUUUGCUUGUGAGAGGGUUUUGUUCAUUUGCCUUUGUUAACAGC